CCGGCCGCCCGGAGAUAAUCUCCCCCGCCGCUGCUCACCCCGCCGCUCGGAGACAACCUCCUCCGCCGCCUUCCCCUACAAGUAACAGUGCAGUAGAGAGCUUCACAAAACAGGGAUGCUUUAGAUGCAUCAGGAGCAAGCAGAUGGUGGGCAUAUUUGCCUCAGUCUGGGUGAGAAGCAAUCUUAGGCCAUACAUUCGCCAUUUGAAUGUGUCAUGUGUUGGAUCGGGUAUCAUGGGCUACCUAGGGAACAAGGGUUCAGUGUCAGUUCGAUUCUUGUUGCACGAGAUGAGCUUUUGCAUUGUUUGUUGUCACCUGGCUUCAGGUGGCAAACAAGGGGAUGUACUGCUGAGGAAUUUUGAUGCAGCGGACAUACUUGCAAGGACGAAAUUCCAUGGCGAUGGAAAUAAAAAGCUGCCAAAGAAGAUCCUUGAUCACGAGUAUGGCUUGCUGGGCUUGCUGUCACAUAUGGACUCAACUUAAAUGCUCGGAUGUCAAGAGGUCAAGUCCCUAGAAAAUUAAAAUGAGCUGCUGGAGAUAAACAAAAAGGAUUUGAACGGAAACAUGGACAGUCAAGGGAGGUUGCUUGAUCUUGAUGUCGCCUCUACUUUAUCAUUUGUGAAAGCAAAAUUCAUUACACCGUCAUGUUAGUCAUGUACUAGGAAAUGAUGAAGUCAGUACAUUAUUGGGUACUCUUUAUUGAUUAUAUUUCAGUUAGUGCCUUGAUUCACGAAGGGUUGCAAAAUAUAUGGAUGAAAGGUCAUAGAAGUACUACAUUUGGACUGCCGUGAAGCUGGUUCCUCCUCCGAGUGCCCUUUUGAGAUUGAUGCUGAAGACUCCGUGCCUCUACUCAACCUUCUGUGUUUUUCAGUUCCAGAACGGUGACACCGCCAUCAUAGUCGUAUCUCCUCGUACUGGUCGUUUUCCCGACCCUUGACUUGUGAUUAUGUGCGCUGAACCGAUGACUGCCCUGGACAUCGUGUUUGCUUCAGUUGAGGAUUUAUUGGUAUAUUAUCCAUAUAAAGUGAAGAUUUUUCUCUAGAUAUAUGACAAAUAUUUUCAAGGACAAGUAUGCAGGCUUGGCCAAUCCGUUUUGAGGCUUUAUAGAUUUGGUUAUUUUACUUAUUUCAAGUUUUUGGCUGAUCUGCUUCGAGGGCAUCUAGG